rnacentral:rRNA from 1 species
GACGAACGCUGGCGGCGUGCUUAACACAUGCAAGUCGAACGGCAAGGCCCUGCUUUUGUGGGGUGCUCGAGUGGCGAACGGGUGAGUAACACGUGAGUAACCUGCCCUUGACUUUGGGAUAACUUCAGGAAACUGGGGCUAAUACCGGAUAGGAGCUCCUGCUGCAUGGUGGGGGUUGGAAAGUUUCGGCGGUUGGGGAUGGACUCGCGGCUUAUCAGCUUGUUGGUGGGGUAGUGGCUUACCAAGGCUUUGACGGGUAGCCGGCCUGAGAGGGUGACCGGCCACAUUGGGACUGAGAUACGGCCCAGACUCCUACGGGAGGCAGCAGUGGGGAAUAUUGCACAAUGGGCGGAAGCCUGAUGCAGAAACGCCGCGUGCGGGAUGACGGCCUUCGGGGUGUAAACCGCUUUCGCCUGUGACGAAGCGUGAGUGACGGUAAUGGGUAAAGAAGCACCGGCUAACUACGUG